GGAGUUGUGGCUCAGCGGUAGAGCACUCGCCUAGCACGUGUGAGGCUCUGAGUUCAAUCCUCAGUACCA
rnacentral:tRNA from 1 species